rnacentral:rRNA from 1 species
AACGAACGCUGGCGGCAUGCCUAACACAUGCAAGUCGAACGGGAUCCUAGCUUGCUAGGUGAGAGUGGCGGACGGGUGAGUAACACGUGGGAAUCUGCCUUUUGGUUCGGGAUAACCGCGGGAAACUGCGGCUAAUACCGAAUGCCCUCGAGAGAGGAAAGAUUUAUCGCCAGAAGAGGAGCCCGCGUCCGAUUAGGUAGUUGGUGGGGUGAAGGCCUACCAAGCCGACGAUCGGUAGCUGGUCUGAGAGGAUGAUCAGCCACACUGGGACUGAGAUACGGCCCAGACUCCUACGGGAGGCAGCAGUGGGGAAUAUUGGACAAUGGGGGGCAACCCGUGAUCCAGCAAUGCCGCGUGAGUGAUGAAGGCCUUAGGGUUGUAAAGACUCUUUUGUCCAGGAAGAUGAUGACUGUACCU